UGGGGAAUUUUGGACAAUGGGCGAAAGCCUGAUCCAGCAAUGCCGCGUGUGUGAAGAAGGCCUUCGGGUUGUAAAGCNCUUUUGUCCGGAAAGAAAUCCUUGGCUCUAAUACAGUCGGGGGAUGACGGUACCGGAAGAAUAAGCACCGGCUAACUACGUGCCAGCAGCCGCGGUAAUACGUAGGGUGCAAGCGUUAAUCGGAAUUACUGGGCGUAAAGCGUGCGCAGGCGGUUUGCUAAGACCGAUGUGAAAUCCCCGGGCUCAACCUGGGAACUGCAUUGGUGACUGGCAGGCUAGAGUAUGGCAGAGGGGGGUAGAAUUCCACGUGUAGCAGUGAAAUGCGUAGAGAUGUGGAGGAAUACCGAUGGCGAAGGCAGCCCCCUGGGCCAAUACUGACGCUCAUGCACGAAAAGCGUGGGGAGCAAACAGGAUUAGAUACCCUGGUAGUCCACGCCCUAAACGAUGUCAACUAGUUGUUGGGGAUUCAUUUCCUUAGUAACGUAGCUAACGCGUGAAGUUGACCGCCUGGGGAGUACGGUCGAAGAUUAAAACUCAAGGAAUUGACGGGGUCAUAGCUGUUUCCU
rnacentral:rRNA from 1 species